CCUGAUGACCAUAGCAAGUCGGUCCCACCCCUUCCCAUCCCGAACAGGACCGUGAAACGACUUUGC
rnacentral:rRNA from 1 species